UUCUCUCUUUUUUUUUUAAAAAAAAAUUGUAUGUGUUGCUGUUUGUUCUUCCCCUUCCUUCCUCGCUUUGUCUUCAAGUUAGGUUGGUGUCUUGGGCAUGUGUAAAUUAAUUUUCCGUGCGGACAGCUACUGAUCCGAGCCCUAACCCUAAUUUAUCUCCCAUUCAAGGAGGAAGAGAGAUUUUCUAUGGAUGUUCUCUAGUAUUUGCCCUUACUCUGGGCUUUUCUGUCUAUUGUGUGUGUGUGUGUGUGUG
rnacentral:misc_RNA from 1 species